rnacentral:hammerhead_ribozyme from 1 species
AGUUAACUGACGAGUCCCAGACUAGGGCGAAAUGUACAUCCUGACU